GAUGAAGAACGUAGCGAAAUGCGAUACUUGGUGUGAAUUGCAGAAUCCCGUGAACCAUCGAGUUUUUGAACGCAAGUUGCGCCCGAAGCCGUCAGGCCGAGGGCACGCCUGCCUGGGCGUCACACGCCGUUGCCCCCCCGCGCCCCGCACCCAACGCUUUGGGAGCGACCGCGGGGCGGGCUGAUGAUGGCCUCCCGUGCGCUCCGCCGCGCGGUUGGCCCAAAUACCGAGUCCCCGGCGACGUGCGCCACGACGAUCGGUGGUUGAGAGACCUCUGUCGCAAGUCGUGCGCGCCCGUCGCGUCACGCGGGCUCGCAUAGCGCCUCGCGCCGCACCCGGUGCGGAGCUUUCAACGCGACCCCAGGUCAGGCGGGGUUACCCGCUGAAUUUAAGCAUAUCAAUAAGCGGAGGA
rnacentral:misc_RNA from 1 species